rnacentral:lncRNA from 1 species
CUCUUCUCCGCCACCAUCCUCCUCCUCCUCAUCAGAAAAUGAAGAUGGGACUCGAGAUUCUCCUGAACGAUGAAGUGUUUGUGGAUUUCUUCAAUACAUAUUUAAGUCUUCCAGUGUUUGGUCAAACUCCGCUCUACAUGAUGAACCAAAACAAGUGGUUAAUGUGGCCCAAUGUGCCCUUCACUCAGGUGAACACUGGAGAGUUUCUGAAAUGGUUAGAGAUGCAUCGGAUGGUUUUCUUCAGACGAACUGAGCUCUAUCACUUUUUCCUUCUCUGUACAGAGAUCCUUGACUUUGUGUCCUGUAAAUCCACAGUGGAUUUGAAAUGGACUCCAGCAGAUCAGUGGCUUGUGAGGAAAUGUCUGGGCAGUGUGAGGGGAAUCCAGAGACUUCGCUCAUUUCUCAAGAGCUCUGAUGCAGAAGAGGAGCUUCUUCUGUUCUGCGUGAGAGCAUCCAUGAUCUUGAGGAUAAAGGAAGAAGAAACUGAAGAAGCGUUUCAGACAUUGAAUCGUCAAGCACUUCACACAGCGAUCAGACGGUAUGACGUGACUGCUCUCCUAUCGAGAGACUGUCCUCUGAUUUCCCA